rnacentral:rRNA from 1 species
UACGUAGGGUGCGAGCGUUAAUCGGAAUUACUGGGCGUAAAGCGUGCGCAGGCGGCUGUGCAAGACAGGUGUGAAAUCCCCGGGCUUAACCUGGGAACUGCAUUUGUGACUGCAUCGCUGGAGUGCGGCAGAGGGGGAUGGAAUUCCGGCGUGUAGCAGUGAAAUGCGUAGAUAUGCGGAGGAACACCGAUGGCGAAGGCAAUCCCCUGGGCCUGCACUGACGCUCAUGCACGAAAGCGUGGGGAGCAAACAGG